GAGUUUGAUCUUGGCUCAGAUUGAACGCUGGCGGCAGGCCUAACACAUGCAAGUCGAGCGGUAGAGAGAAGCUUGCUUCUCUUGAGAGCGGCGGACGGGUGAGUAAUGCCUAGGAAUCUGCCUGGUAGUGGGGGAUAACGCUCGGAAACGGACGCUAAUACCGCAUACGUCCUACGGGAGAAAGCAGGGGACCUUCGGGCCUUGCGCUAUCAGAUGAGCCUAGGUCGGAUUAGCUAGUUGGUGAGGUAAUGGCUCACCAAGGCGACGAUCCGUAACUGGUCUGAGAGGAUGAUCAGUCACACUGGAACUGAGACACGGUCCAGACUCCUACGGGAGGCAGCAGUGGGGAAUAUUGGACAAUGGGCGAAAGCCUGAUCCAGCCAUGCCGCGUGUGUGAAGAAGG
rnacentral:rRNA from 1 species